rnacentral:pre_miRNA from 1 species
AUUAAUCACCUGGAGAUCUUGUUCAAUGCUGAUUCUGACUUAAUAGAUCUAAGAUAGAGAUUCUGUAUUUGAAAUAAGCUUCCAGUGAGGAUAAC